rnacentral:rRNA from 1 species
GUUCGAUUAAGCCAUGCGAGUUAAAUGUUCUUCGUGAACAUGGCGUACUGCUCAGUAACACGUGGAUAACCUGCCCUAAGGUCCGGCAUAACCCCGGGAAACUGGGGAUAAUACCGGAUAAACCAUAGAUACUGGAAUGUUCUGUGGUUAAAAGUUCCGGCGCCUUAGGAUGGAUCUGCGGCCUAUCAGGUAGUAGUGGGUGUAAAGUACCUACUAGCCGACGACGGGUACGGGUUGUGAGAGCAAGAGCCCGGAGAUGGAUUCUGAGACAUGAAUCCAGGCCCUACGGGGCGCAGCAGGCGCGAAAUCUUUACAAUGCGGGAAACCGCGAUAAGGGGACACUGAGUGCCAGCAUAUUAUGUUGGCUGUCCACCUGUAUAAAUCACAGGUGUUAGCAAGGGCCGGGCAAGACCGGUGCCAGCCGCCGCGGUAACACCGGCGGCCCGAGUGGUAGCCACUAUUAUUGGGUCUAAAGGGUCCGUAGCCGGUUUGAUCAGUCUUCCGGGAAAUCUGACAGCUCAACUGUUAGGCUUCCGGGGGAUACUGUCA